UGCGAGGACUUGCUCAAUUCGAUCACGAAUCUCGACGGUAGUAGAUCGUGUUUAAUGAUAGGCGUUCUUUCUCUCUUUUAAGAAUUUACUUUUUUUCAUCUCGGUUCAAUUACUGUUACUUAUUUUCACGCGAGUUUGUCUAGAAAGUGACUUAGUUCCAGUGUAUUCUACAAUAUACCUACUGAACUGUUCGAAGUGAAUAACCAGGAAGGCAACUACGGGCUGCAGCAAAAUUCUCUCAAAGCUAAAUUAACGUGUCUCUGAUUAGCCCCGUCUCAUUUCGAAUUAAAACAAGCUCAAGAUGCCGAAGCCAGUCGUCCAAGUCGGCGAUGAUCCCGAUCCAAGCGAGUGGUUGUUCGUUUCGCUUGAGCAAAAGCGUAUCGAUCAGAGCAAACCUUACGAUGCCAAGAAGGCUUGCUGGGUUCCGGAUGAGAAGGAAGGCUACGUCCUGGGAGAAAUCAAGGCCACCAAGGGUGAGCUGGUCACCGUAGGCCUGCCCGGUGGUGAGACCAAGGAUUUCAAGAAGGAUCUGGUCUCCCAGGUCAACCCACCGAAAUACGAGAAAUGCGAGGAUAUGUCUAACUUGACAUAUCUUAACGAUGCCUCUGUUUUGCAUAACUUGAGAGAACGUUACAGGGCCAAGCUGAUCUACACCUACUCUGGCUUGUUCUGCGUUGUCAUCAAUCCUUACAAGCGUUGGCCGCUGUACACCAUGCGUGUCGCCAAGAUGUACCGUGGUAAGCGUCGUGCUGAAGUGCCGCCCCAUCUAUUCGCCGUUUCUGACGGUGCCUACGUCAACAUGUUGACCAACCACGAGAACCAGUCUAUGUUGAUUACCGGUGAGUCUGGUGCCGGAAAAACUGAGAACACGAAGAAAGUCAUUGCGUACUUCGCCACCAUUGGCGCCUCGACGAAGAAGGACGAAUCGACCGAGAAGAAGGGCUCCCUGGAAGAUCAAGUCGUCCAGACCAACCCCGUACUUGAGGCCUUCGGUAAUGCCAAGACCGUCCGUAACGAUAACUCUUCUCGUUUCGGUAAAUUCAUCCGUAUUCACUUCACUGGAUCCGGUAAACUGGCUGGUGCUGAUAUUGAGACUUACCUGCUGGAAAAGGCUCGUGUCAUUUCCCAGCAGACCUUGGAACGUUCUUACCAUAUCUUCUACCAGAUGAUGUCCGGUUCCGUCAAGGGACUGAAAGAUAUGUGCUUCCUGUCCAACGAUAUCUACGACUACUACAACGUUUCUCAGGGUAAAAUCACUAUUCCCAAUGUCGAUGACGGUGAAGAAUGUUUGCUGACUGAUGAAGCCUUCAACGUCUUGGGUUUCACUCAGGAGGAAAAGGACAACAUCUACCGUAUCACUGCCGCUGUCAUGCAUAUGGGUGGCAUGAAGUUCAAGCAAAAGGGUCGCGAAGAACAGGCUGAGGCCGAUGGUACCGAGGAAGGUGAUCGCGUUGCCAAGCUGCUGGGUGUCGUUACUGAAGAUUUGUACAAGAAUCUGUUGAAGCCCCGUAUCAAGGUCGGUGCCGAGUUCGUCACCAAGGGUCAAAACAAGGACCAGGUCACCAACGCCGUCGGUGCCCUUUGCAAGGGUAUCUUCGAUCGUAUCUUCAAGUGGCUGGUCAAGAAGUGUAACGAAACUCUGGAUACCAAGCAAAAACGUUCUCAGUUCAUUGGUGUACUGGAUAUUGCUGGUUUCGAGAUCUUCGACUACAACGGCUUCGAACAGCUGUGUAUUAACUUCACCAACGAGAAACUACAACAAUUCUUCAAUCACCACAUGUUUGUACUGGAGCAGGAAGAGUACAAGCGCGAAGGUAUCAACUGGGCCUUUAUUGAUUUCGGUAUGGAUUUGCUGGCCUGUAUCGAAAUGAUUGAAAAGCCUAUGGGUAUCCUGUCCAUCCUUGAGGAAGAAUCUAUGUUCCCGAAAGCCACUGAUCAAACCUUUGCUGAGAAGCUUAUGACCAACCACUUGGGCAAGUCUCCUCCAUUCCAGAAGCCAAAACCACCAAAGCCAGGUUGCCAGGCUGCUCACUUUGCUAUCGGUCACUACGCCGGUGUUGUCUCAUACAAUAUCACUGGAUGGCUUGAGAAGAAUAAGGAUCCCCUGAACGACACUGUUGUUGACCAGUUCAAGAAAGGUAACAACAAUCUGUUGGUGGAGAUCUUCGCUGAUCAUCCUGGACAAUCUGCUGCUCCCGAUGCUGGUGGCGGCAAGGGUGGACGUGGUAAGAAGGGUGCCGGCUUCGCCACCGUCUCCUCGUCAUACAAGGAACAGCUUAACAACUUGAUGACCACACUGAAAUCCACUCAGCCUCACUUCGUCCGUUGUAUCAUUCCAAAUGAAUUGAAACAGACCGGUCUCAUUGAUGCUCACUUGGUCAUGCACCAGCUGACUUGUAACGGUGUACUUGAAGGCAUCCGUAUUUGCCGUAAAGGUUUCCCCAACAGGAUGAUGUAUCCCGACUUCAAGUUGCGUUAUCUUAUCUUGGCUCCAGCAGCCAUGCAGGCUGAAACCGAUCCCAAGAAGGCUGCUGAGCAUUGUUUCAAUUCAAUCGGCCUGGACCCUGACUCCUAUCGUAUCGGACAUACCAAGGUAUUCUUCCGUGCCGGUGUCCUAGGUCAGAUGGAGGAAUUCCGUGAUGAGCGUUUGUCCAAGAUCAUGUCCUGGAUGCAAUCGUGGUGCCGUGGUUACCUUGCUCGUAAAGAGUUCAAGAAGAUGCAGGAGCAACGUGUUGCCCUGGAAGUUGUCCAGCGUAACUUGCGCAAGUACCUGAAGCUGCGUACUUGGGCCUGGUGGAAACUGUGGCAGAAGGUCAAGCCUUUGCUCAAUGUUUCCCGUGUUGAGGACCAGAUCGCUAAACUGGAAGAGAAGGCCCAGAAGGCACAGGAGGCUUUCGAGAAGGAAGAGAAACUCCGCAAGGAUCUUGAAGCUCUGAACAGCAAGCUGUUGGCUGAGAAGACUGCCCUACUUGACUCGCUGUCCGGUGAAAAGGGUGCCCUCCAGGAAUACCAGGAGAAGGCAGCCAAGUUGGUCGCCCAGAAGAAUGAUCUCGAAAACCAACUCCGAGACACCCAAGAACGGUUGGCCCAGGAAGAAGAUGCUCGUAAUCAACUGUUCCAGACCAAGAAGAAGUUAGAGCAGGAAAUUUCCGGCCAGAAGAAGGAUGCCGAAGAUCUGGAACUGCAAAUCCAGAAAAUUGAGCAGGAUAAGGCUUCCAAGGAUCACCAAAUCCGCAACUUGAAUGAUGAGAUCGCCCACCAGGACGAGCUGAUCAACAAGUUGAACAAGGAGAAAAAAAUGCAAGGUGAAGUCAACCAGAAGACUGCUGAAGAAUUGCAGGCCGCUGAAGAUAAGGUUAACCACCUGAACAAGGUUAAAGCCAAGCUUGAGCAGACUCUGGAUGAGCUCGAGGACUCACUGGAACGCGAGAAGAAACUGCGUGGUGAUGUUGAGAAGGCCAAGCGAAAGGUCGAGGGCGAUCUUAAGCUGACCCAGGAAGCCGUUGCCGAUCUGGAGCGCAACAAGAAGGAGCUUGAGCAAACCAUUAUGCGCAAGGAUAAGGAAAUCUCUGCCCUUUCCGCCAAACUGGAAGACGAGCAAUCUUUGGUUGGCAAACUGCAGAAACAAAUCAAGGAACUGCAAGGCCGUAUUGAAGAGCUGGAGGAGGAAGUCGAGGCCGAACGCCAGGCUCGCGCCAAGGCUGAGAAGCAACGUGCUGAUUUGGCCCGUGAGCUGGAGGAACUGGGCGAGCGACUUGAAGAAGCUGGUGGUGCUACCUCCGCUCAAAUCGAGUUGAACAAGAAACGUGAAGCCGAACUUGCCAAGCUGCGUCGUGAUUUGGAGGAAGCUAAUAUUCAGCAUGAAGGCACCCUUGCUAACCUACGCAAGAAGCACAACGACGCCGUUGCGGAAAUGGCCGAACAAGUCGAUCAGCUGAACAAACUGAAAACUAAAGCUGAACAUGAUCGUGCUAAUAUGUACAAUGAACUGAACAACACUCGCUCCGCUUGUGAUCAGCUUGCCCGUGAAAAGGCCGCCCAAGAAAAGAUCGCCAAGCAGCUGCAGCAUACUCUGAAUGAAGUGCAAGGCAAGCUGGAUGAAACCAACCGCACGUUGAACGAUUUCGAUGCUUCCAAGAAGAAGUUGUCCAUUGAGAACUCCGACCUGCUCCGUCAACUGGAAGAUGCCGAGUCUCAAGUGUCGCAACUCAGCAAGAUUAAGAUCUCACUCACGCAACAGCUCGAGGAUACCAAGCGUCUGGCCGAUGAAGAAUCCCGUGAACGCGCUACCCUGCUUGGCAAGUUCCGUAAUCUGGAACACGACCUCGAUAACCUGCGUGAACAGGUUGAGGAGGAAGCCGAAGGCAAGGGUGACAUUCAGCGCCAACUCAGCAAGGCCAACGCCGAGGCACAGUUGUGGCGCAGCAAGUACGAAUCCGAGGGUGUUGCCCGCGCUGAAGAACUUGAGGAAGCCAAGAGGAAGCUCCAGGCCCGCCUUGCCGAAGCAGAGGAAACCAUUGAGUCACUUAACCAGAAGUGCAUUGCUCUGGAGAAGACCAAGCAGCGUCUGUCCACCGAAGUCGAAGAUUUGCAACUCGAGGUUGACCGUGCUACCUCGAUUGCCAACGCAGCCGAGAAGAAACAGAAGGCCUUCGACAAAAUCAUUGGCGAAUGGAAACUCAAGGUUGAUGAUCUGGCUGCUGAGCUGGAUGCUUCCCAGAAGGAAUGCCGCAACUACUCCACCGAAUUGUUCCGUCUCAAGGGCGCAUACGAAGAAGGUCAAGAACAACUUGAAGCUGUACGCCGUGAAAACAAGAAUUUGGCUGAUGAAGUCAAGGAUCUGCUGGACCAGAUCGGUGAGGGCGGCCGCAACAUCCAUGAAAUCGAAAAGUCUCGCAAGCGUUUGGAAGCCGAAAAGGACGAACUGCAGGCCGCACUCGAGGAAGCUGAAGCUGCCCUGGAACAAGAAGAGAACAAGGUUCUGCGUGCCCAGCUUGAACUGUCUCAGGUCCGUCAAGAAAUUGACAGACGCAUCCAGGAGAAGGAAGAGGAAUUCGAAAACACCCGCAAGAACCACCAGCGAGCUUUGGACUCCAUGCAGGCCUCCCUCGAAGCCGAAGCCAAGGGUAAGGCUGAGGCCCUGCGCAUGAAGAAGAAGUUGGAAGCUGACAUCAAUGAGCUUGAAAUUGCCCUGGAUCAUGCCAACAAGGCUAACGCUGAGGCCCAGAAGAACAUCAAGCGCUACCAGCAACAACUCAAGGAUGUCCAAAGCGCCCUGGAAGAAGAACAGCGUGCCCGUGAUGAUGCCCGCGAACAGCUUGGAAUCUCGGAGCGCCGUGCUAAUGCUCUUCAGAACGAACUGGAAGAAUCCCGCACUCUUCUGGAACAAGCCGACCGUGGUCGUCGCCAAGCCGAACAGGAACUUGGUGAUGCUCAUGAGCAGUUGAACGAGGUUUCUGCCCAGAACGCAUCGAUCGCUGCUGCCAAGAGGAAGCUGGAAUCUGAAUUGCAGACCCUGCACUCUGAUCUGGAUGAGCUGUUGAACGAAGCUAAGAACUCCGAGGAGAAGGCCAAGAAGGCUAUGGUUGACGCUGCCCGUUUGGCUGAUGAACUUCGUGCCGAACAAGACCACGCUCAGACUCAGGAGAAACUCCGCAAAGCUCUGGAACAACAGAUCAAGGAACUGCAGGUACGUCUUGAUGAAGCCGAAUCUAAUGCCCUGAAGGGAGGUAAGAAGGCCAUCCAGAAACUUGAGCAGCGCGUACGUGAGCUCGAAUCCGAACUUGAUAGCGAGCAGAGACGCCAUGCUGAUGCCCAGAAGAACCUUCGCAAAUCCGAACGCCGCAUUAAGGAACUGACCUUCCAGUCAGAGGAAGACCGCAAAAACCACGAACGUAUGCAGGACCUCGUCGACAAACUGCAGCAAAAGAUCAAGACUUACAAGAGGCAGAUCGAAGAAGCCGAGGAAAUCGCCGCUCUGAAUCUGGCCAAAUUCCGCAAAGCUCAGCAAGAACUUGAGGAAGCCGAGGAACGUGCCGACAUAGCCGAACAAGCUGCAACCAAAUUCCGCACCAAGGGACGUGCCGGUUCGGUGCAGCGUGGUGCCAGCCCAGCACCUUCGAUCACCAGAGCGUAAGAGCGCUGUUAAAUAUCAAUCGAUAGACUAUUAUCCGUUAUCCAGUCUUACAAUCGAAUGAACCAAACUAUCCGUUCACAGUUCCCCAGAGACACCCGUCUACUUUACCAGGAUUUGCCGGUCUUACCCUUCCUACAUUCGACGACCAUGCUUUCUAAACAUUGAAACACUCUAAAGCUAUUUGUUAGAUACAACCAACACGUUUUAUUUAUUUUAUUUACACUUUAAUACAAAAUCCACAUGACCAUUCGCGGACGUCUUGAACAUCACCGUAUGGAAAAGAGAAAGAAAAGAUUUCAGAGCAGAUAAGCAACACACAGUCCGUUUUUACUCGCUCGCAAGCACACACUUCGCCGGUGCGUCUUCAAGAAAAAAAACAGCAACAACAGCAACAAGACUAAAUGAGAGAGAGACAAAACAACGACCAACGUUCACACAUGCACAUGUUGAGCCCUACGAAGUAGUAUUGUUUAUUCGUAGUAUGCGAUGUAAACCGUGUCCGUGUGUCACUAACUAAGCAUGUUGAAGACCAUAUUAAAAAUGUUAUCGAACGUCACGCGAGAUGGGACGUGCUGCAAAAAGAGAGAAAAAUCGCCUGUCAUUCAAAGAACAAACAAAAAAAUUAGCAAGAGAAGAAAGCAAUCCAUCAAAACAUAUUGAUAAUGAAACAUUGUUCUAAGUUUUUAUUUUCUUUUGUAUUCAUUUUAUUUUGUACUUUUGCUCUGAAUCUUUUAUAAUUUUAUUAAUAAAAAAUGUAUUUAUUUUUAUUAAUUAAAAUAACGAAAUAAGAUACCAUUCGAAACUAAACACGGAAAUUGAAUUAGUUUUUACUGCGAAAAUUGCGUUUCGCAGACGAACAAUCCGAAUAUGCGUGGAGCUACAUCAUGCCGAUCGUAGUCAUUUCCUAACGGGUUGCAACGUGUGGUUCGUUUAGUACAGCCUGAGAGAUAUUUAAUUAGACAAAACACGAAAUAUAAGAGACACGUUCAAAACAACAACUAACUUCAGCCCAUCAAAAUAAUAAUGUCAUCGAAGCAACACCACCGAUGACUGCUAAACGUUCGACCGUUCCUCCGCCAAACAUUAUCCUACACUCGGCUAGCAACCCAAACUCGAAGGGGCUACAGUCUGGCACUGGUGGCUGCCUCCAAUGCUGACCCCAAAGUAUCGGUUGCGAUCCGCAAGGAUUCGUGGAAACAAAUCGAUUUCGCUACUUACUUUUUUACUAUAUUUAUUGUCGAGAGAGAGAAAACACUAGAAUAUCAAAAGCACCAAAAACCUGAUUCGAAUUUGACUUUAAUACUACUCUGUAAAGCAGAAGGAAAGGAAAAUUUCUUUUGAGAAAAGGAAGCUAUUGUAAAUGUAUAUGUGUGAAAGAAGAAAACCCCAAAAAAAAAUAAAUCAAACAUCAUUUUAAAAAUA